rnacentral:misc_RNA from 1 species
GAAACAAGUGUUUUCUAGUGAAUGAAUUUUUCGAAGAAGGUGAAAUGGGAGCAUUAUGCGCUGGCCACUCUCGGGACACCUUGGAUCGUUUCUCCGACCGUUGUCUCCACGUUUUCCCAUGUCUCUCCGAUCCCGCUCGGAGAUCCACUUGUUGCUUGAGAAUAGCGUUGGUGAUGCUGCACUUGAUCUAUCUGGGCGUUCUAUUUGUCUUUGACAAAGAUUUGAUUCAUAAAACUAAAGAAGAGCCAUGGUACACAACUGUCUAUUU